CGGGUGAGUAACGCGUGGAAAACCUGCCGUAUACUGGGGGAUAACACUUAGAAAUAGGUGCUAAUACCGCAUAAGCGCACAGCUUCGCAUGAAGCGGUGUGAAAAACUCUGGUGGUAUACGAUGGUUCCGCGUCUGAUUAGCUAGCUGGUGGGGUAAUGGCCUACCAAGGCAACGAUCAGUAGCCGGCCUGAGAGGGUGAACGGCCACAUUGGGACUGAGACACGGCCCAAACUCCUACGGGAGGCAGCAG
rnacentral:rRNA from 1 species